UUUUUUUUUUUUUCUUGCUAGAGUAACGCUGGCGGUAGGCCUAACACAUCAAUCGACUGGCAGCCAGAGGAGCUUCUCCUUGGGUGGCGAGUGCGGACGGUGAGGAAUCAUCGGAUUCUCUUUUUGGUGGGGGUAACGUAGGGAAAUUACGCUAUUCCGCAUACGACUACGGGGAAAGCAGGGACCUUCGGCCCUUGCGCGAUUGAAUGAGCCGAUUCGGAUAGCUAGUGGCGGGUAAAGGCCCACCAAGGCGACGAUCCGUAGCUGUUCUGAGAGGAUGUUCAGCCACACUGGAAUUGAGACACGGUCCAGAUUCUUACGGGAGGCAGCAGUGGGGAAUAUUGGACAAUGGGCGCAACCCUGAUCCAGCCAUACCGCGUGGGUGAAGAAGCCCUUCGGGUUGUAAACCCCUUUUGUUGGGAAAGAAAUCCAGCUGGCUAAUACCCGGUUGGGAUGACGGUACCCAAAGAAUAAGCACCGGCUAACUUCGUGCCAGCAGCCGCGGUAAUACGAAGGGUGCAAGCGUUACUCGGAAUUACUGGGCGUAAAGCGUGCGUAGGUGGUCGUUUAAGUCCGUUGUGAAAUCCCUGGGCUCAACCUGGGAACUGCAGUGGAUACUGGGCGACUAGAAUGUGGUAGAGGGUAGCGGAAUUCCUGGUGUAGCAGUGAAAUGCGUAGAGAUCAGGAGGAACAUCCAUGGCGAAGGCAGCCACCUGGACCUAACACUGACACUGAGGCACGAAAAGAAGG
rnacentral:rRNA from 1 species